UGGGGAAUAUUGGGCAAUGGCCGAAAGGCUGACCCAGCGACGCCGCGUGUGGGAGGAAGCCCUUCGGGGUGUAAACCACUGUCAGGAGGGACGAAAGAGCGGGGAGUGAAUAAUUCUUCGCAGUGACGGUACCUUCGAAGGAAGCACCGGCUAACUCUGUGCCAGCAGCCGCGGUAAUACAGAGGGUGCAAGCGUUGUUCGGAAUUACUGGGCGUAAAGCGCGCGCAGGCGGGUCCUGUAAGUCGGAAGUGAAAUUUCACGGCUCAACCGUGAUGCUGCUUCUGAUACUGCGGAUCUGGAGAUCGGUAGAGGUCGGUAGAACUACAGGUGUAGCGGUGGAAUGCGUAGAUAUCUGUAAGAAUACCCGUGGCGAAGGCGGCCGACUGGGCCGAAUCUGACGCUGAGGCGCGAAAGCGUGGGGAGCAAACAGGAUCAGAUACCCUGGUAGUCCACGCCGUAAACGAUGGCACUAGGUGCCGGGGGGAGCGA
rnacentral:rRNA from 1 species